GCGGCCGAGUUGGGUGGCGAUCGGCUCCUCUCGGCGAGGGCUUUCUUUUGGUAGCAGCGGCGACGCCUGUGGUGGCCGGAGACGGAAGAUCUGGUGGAGAGAGAAAAUGGUGGCAGCCGGCGUGUUUGGGCUUUUCCGGCCAGCUCCGGCGGAGGAUGGAUGAUCGGAGGAUGUAUCCCGACUCUCCUCAGCUCAAGCUUCGCGAUGGCACUGGUUUCGUGGCGAUCGGGCUUCGUUU
rnacentral:lncRNA from 1 species